rnacentral:rRNA from 1 species
UCUCAAAGAUUAAGCCAUGCAGGUCUCAGUACGGCCUCUAGCGAAAAGGCGAAACCGCGAAUGGCUCAUUAAAUCAGUUAUGGUUCCUUAGAGCUUACGUUGUCUUACUUGGAUAACCGUGGUAAUUCUAGAGCUAAUACAUGCACCGAAGCUCCGACCCUCGGGAACGAGCGCUUUUAUUAGACCGCAACGACCGUAUCCGCUGCGUGCCGGGCCUCGUGCUUCGGCCGCGGACGUGUUUGCGUGGUGACUCUGGAUAACUCUGCCGAUCGGCCGGCGAUCCCCGAGAGGGGGUCCAGUCCGGCCGACGCACCUUUCAAGUGUCUGCCUUAUCAACUGUCGACGGUAGGUUAAAUGCCUACCGUGGUAGUAACGGGUGACGGGGAAUCAGGGUUCGAUUCCGGAGAGGAAGCCUGAGAAACGGCUACCACAUCCAAGGAAGGCAGCAGGCUCGCAAAUUACCCACUCCCGGCACGGGGAGGUAGUGACGAAAAAUAACGAUGCGGGACUCGGUCGAGACCCCGCCAUCGGAAUGAGUACACUCUAAAUCCUUUAACGAGGAUCCACCGGAGGGCAAGUCUGGUGCCAGCAGCUGCGGUAAUUCCAGCUCCGGUAGCAUAUGCUAAAGUUGCUGCGGUUAAAAAGCUCGUAGUUGGAUCUCAGUCUCGGCCGCUCGGUCUCGCCCGUGUUGGCGGGUCUCGCGGCGGCCGGUCAGAAUGUCGGCCGCCCGGGAUGAUCUUGACCGGUUGUCUCGGAACGGCCGGCGAGUUUACUUUGAAAAAAUCAGAGUGCUCAGAGCGGGCGUUAUCCGCCCGAACGCCCGUGCAUGGAAUAAUGGAAGAUGACCUCGGUUCAAGUCCGUUGGUCCACGAACCCUGAGGUAAUGAUUAAGAGGAACGGCCGGGGGCGAUCGUACCGCGACGCUAGAGGUGAAAUUCUUGGACCGUCGCGUGACGCACCACAGCGAAAGCAUUCGUCAAGAACGCUUCCGUUAAUCAAGAACGAAAGUCAGAGGUUCGAAGGCGAUCAGAUACCGCCCUAGUUCUGACCAUAAACGAUGCCGACCAGCGAUCGGGCUGCGCUCGCCACGACGAGGCGCCCGGAAGCUUUCCGGGAAACCAGAGUCUCUGGGUUCCGGGGGAAGUAUGGUUGCAAAGCUUAAACUUAAAGGCAUUGACGGAAGGGCACCACCAGGCAUGGGGCAUGCGGCUCAAUUUGACUCAACACGGGAAAACUCACCCGGCCCGGACACGGGAAGGAUUGACAGACUGAUUGCUCUUUCUUGAUUCUGUGGGUGGUGGUGCAUGGCCGUUCUUAGUUGGUGGAGCGAUUUGUCUGGUUGAUUCCGAUAACGAACGAGACUCUAGCCUGCUAAAUAGCGAGGUUUUGGCAAGCGGGGUUUUCGCGUCGCCUUUCGCGUUCCGUGCGAGGCUGGCGUUCUCCGCCUUCUUUCGUUUCCGUUCGGGUCCCUUUUCGGGGGGGCACGUUUCGGUGCGGAGGUCGGUGUGGGUUCGCUCUGUCCGCGGUUCGUCGGAGGGGGCCGAGAACUUCGUAAACCUCCGGUAUCUCUUCUUAGAGGGACAAGCGACGCAUUAAAGUCGCGCGAGGAAGAGCGAUAACAGGUCUGUGAUGCCCUUAGAUGUCCGGGGCCGCACGCGCGCCACACUGACGCCCACAGCGUGCGCGCUCGCCCGGUCCGACAGGAUCGGGGAACCCCUUCAACGGACGUCGUGAUGGGGACAGGGGAUUGUAAUUAUUCCCCUCGAACGAGGAAUUCCCAGUAAGCGCGAGUCACUAGCUCGCGUUGAUUACGUCCCUGCCCUUUGUACACACCGCCCGUCGCUACUACUGAUUGAACGGUGCGGUGAGGUCCUCGGACUGGCUUACGCUGGAGGGACCCUGGCUCGUUCCGUCUCGGCGGUCGAGUUAUUUCCCGAUGCGGUAGCCGGAAAGUCGAUCGAACCGUAUCGUUUAGAGGAAGUAAAAGUCGUAACAAGGUUUCC